CGCUGGCUGGGAGCGUAG
rnacentral:miRNA from 1 species